CCCCCUUCUCCCAUCUGUCUCUGUCUCAAACCUCCCUCUCUAUUCUCUUUUAAGGACAUCAGUCAUUGGAUAUAGGGCCCACCCUAAAGUUCUUAUCUUGAGAUCUUUAACUUAAUACAUCUGCAAAGACCCUAUCUCCAAAUAAGAUAUACUCACAGUAUUUAAAUGAUGACCACAAUUGCAGGGAACAUCCCACAUUCUUUGCUACUUGCUCUGGUCACUGUCUUCAGCUCAGGUAGCUAAUUGGUGAGCCUGCCCAGUUUCUUGCCUCUCUAUUUUUCCUACUGUCACCAGAGUUCGAACACAUCAGGGAUGGCACUAUUUCUGUCCUCUAAAGCCUUGAGGGGUUUCUCCAUUGUCUGGAGAAUAGACACUGUUGGUUGUGCACACAACAGCUGUUCCUCCUUUAUUUGGUACUAACAGAACCCCAGUUUCAUUGGAGAAAUAUGAUCACGGAAAGGGGCUCUACCCCUACACGGGGAACUGUGAUGAGUUCCAUUCAGUCACGCUAAUGCCCUUG
rnacentral:lncRNA from 10 species